rnacentral:rRNA from 1 species
AGCAGCCGCGGUAAUUCCAGCUCCAAUAGCGUAUAUUAAAGUUGUUGCAGUUAAAAAGCUCAUAGUUGAAUUUCGGGAUCAAUACGUCGGUCGUGCUUCGGUACGUACUGGCGUAAUUGAUUUCUCCCUUCUGAAGAACCAUGAUGUCAUUUAUUUGGUGUCGUGGGGAAUCAGGACUGUUACUUUGAAAAAUUAGAGUGUUUAAAGCAGGCUCACGCUUGAAUACAUUAGCAUGGAAUAAUGAAAUAGGACGUUUGAUUCUAUUUUGUUGGUUUCUAGGAUCGACGUAAUGAUUAAUAGGGAUAGUUGGGGGCAUUAGUAUUCAAUUGUCAGAGGUGAAAUUCUUGGAUUUAUUGAAGACUAACUACUGCGAAAGCAUUUGCCAAGGAUGUUUUCAUUAAUCAAGAACGAAAGUUAGGGGGAUCGAAGACGAUCAGAUACCGUCGUAGU